UUUGAUUCCUGGCUCAGAUUGAACGCUGGCGGCAUGCCUUACACAUGCAAGUCGAACGGUAGCAGGUCUUUCGGGAUGCUGACGAGUGGCGAACGGGUGAGUAAUACAUCGGAACGUGCCUAGUAGUGGGGGAUAACUACUCGAAAGAGUGGCUAAUACCGCAUGAGAUCUAUGGAUGAAAGCAGGGGACCUUCGGGCCUUGUGCUACUAGAGCGGCCGAUGGCAGAUUAGGUAGUUGGUGGGAUAAAAGCUUACCAAGCCUGCGAUCUGUAGCUGGUCUGAGAGGACGAUCAGCCACACUGGGACUGAGACACGGCCCAGACUCCUACGGGAGGCAGCAGUGGGGAAUUUUGGACAAUGGGGGAAACCCUGAUCCAGCAAUGCCGCGUGCAGGAUGAAGGCCUUCGGGUUGUAAACUGCUUUUGUACGGAACG
rnacentral:rRNA from 1 species